rnacentral:rRNA from 1 species
GAUGAACGCUGGCGGCGUGCUUAACACAUGCAAGUCGAACGGAAAGGCUCCUGCUUGCAGGGGUACUCGAGUGGCGAACGGGUGAGUAACACGUGGGUGAUCUGCCCUGCACUUCGGGAUAAGCCUGGGUAACUGGGUCUAAUACCGGAUAGGACCACAUUUUGGAUGGUGUGGUGGAAAGUGUUUCGGUGUGGGAUGAGCUCGCGGCCUAUCAGCUUGUUGGUGGGGUAAUGGCCUACCAAGGCGUCGACGGGUAGCCGGCCUGGGAGGGUGUACGGCCACAUUGGGACGGAGAUACGGCCCAGACUCCUACGGGAGGCAGAAGUGGGGAAUAUUGCACAAUGGGCGCAAGCCUGAUGCAGCGACGCCGGGUGGGGGAUGACGGCCUUCGGGUGGUAAACUCCUUUCGCUAGGGACGAAGCGCAAGUGACGGUACCUGGAGAAGAAGCACCGGCUAACUACGUG